AUUUGAACCCAACAAACGAAUUGUCAUCCCUUCACAGUAACGAAAGCGCGAAACGUUGGUCUCUUUCUAGGAGAAGCCAAACAAAUGGAUUCUAUCUGGGUCGUCACUGGCUUUCUCAUCGAAGAAGCCAAGCAGCCGCGAAGAAGUAAAAAUCUGUGAAACAGAGGGAAAAAGUCACACCAUCUUCUUCUCCCUUUAGCUGCUCGAGAUCAUAAUCGGAUUGAACCCGGUUGUUCGGUGGCUUGCCAAUCUGUACACAAUCUAUCGGUGGCAAAGUGGGAGUCCUCAACUCUCCAAAAGUCUGCCAGCAGAAGGGAUUAUACAUGUGGUAUUGCUCUUGCAGUGGUUUUAGCUGUAUGGCAGUUAGUGUCACAUCUACACAUGGUAGACUGUCGCUGCAGGCAAAGUGAACGGGCUUAACUGUGUGCUUUUGUCACAAUAGUAUUGGUCGAUCACAAUUGGGAGUUGAACUUCGGAAACUUGAAUGUUUGAGAACAGUACCCCCUGCACAGAGCCUGAUCCUCCCUGCAGAUUUAGCAUUUGAAAUCACGUGUAAGAGAUACAGCUGGUUUAUGCCUGGCAUUUGCAACAACUAGCUUGGAGGUUUUGGAGGAGCACAGAUUUCACGAAGAAUAUAAUAGCUUAAGAAUUGCUUGUCUGGUGUUGUGUUCUUGAUUCUAGCUCAACAUGUGGCCCAGUAUUGUUUAAACAAAUAGAAUGACAAAAAUUGUUCAUGUAGAAGUAUUUAAUUACCACAGGCGAGAUUGCAGCUGUAAAUUAGAACAUCUUUGGAGUUCUGGAGAUGGAUUCCAUCCGUGUUGGGACUGUCACCAGGAGAUGAGAUGCUUAUAUCAUGGACCAACACUCCCAUGCAGUUGUCAAACUUGAGGUGGAACUGGGGACUACUUUGAAUUGUUAUGCCUGUGACCGUCACAUUAAAACUCCCAUAGAACCUCAGUGCCUGUGCAGUAAAAUGCAGCAAUUAUGUUAAAGGAUUGCAGGGCCACGAAAUAAGGCAGGCAUUUAAAGUUUUGAAUGGUCCUUACAGUUGGCUUGAUGCUUGGCAUUGUCCUCCCAAGCUGGCUUGUUAUCUACACCACACAGUUGCAUGUGGGAGAAGCAUGAAUGAUUAGCUUCAGAUAAUUGUGAAUGUAAUUGCAGGGAAAAAAACAAAGGGAGAGAGAUUGUUACCGGCAUUGGUGGGUUCUUUUCAAUAGUGCUAUUUAAUGGGAUAAUCAGUUUUGAUUCGUCAUCAACAGGAUCAUCAAAAGGGGAGUCUUGCCACCAGACUGAGCCUCUUCCAUCAAUCACACCUUUUCCCUGAAUGGUAAUUCCUCUCAGCUUUGUGAACUCAAGCCAUUGAAACAUACCUCCGCCCCAAGCUUUGGAGUUUGUUGGAGCUAUGAUCGUCCCGUCCAGCUGACAAAAACAAUCUCUUUAGUCUUCAAGUUAAAAGUAUCAGUUUUUGUUUAUGCAUUACCGGAUGGAUGGUAAUGGAGGAUGAGUUCCAUCACAAUUCACAGCCUAUACUUCAAUGAUCAAAGUAUGGACCAGAGAAUGAAAUGGGUCCCACGAGGAAUACGGAUGCUGAUGGAACGAUUACCUUUGAUGCCUCCACCUUGCAAGCAGCUGCCCAUGCAGCUUGGAAUGCCUGCGAUGCACCGUAACAAUUUUCAGGUAAGCUACUACUCACUCUUCAUACAUCAACUUGAUGUACAUGUGUCUUAUUUAAUACUAUGGUUGCUGUUCGCUUGUGCUAAACUGUAUACAAUAAUUGUUGGAAUCAUUACCCCAACUGCCAUAACGAGAAUCAUUUUCUGGUGUGGGUCCCACCUGCUUGGUUAGUUCUUUUGUCUUUACCUUUUGUAUCUAUAACUCUUUGAUGGAAUGUAUAAUUUGUAUGCCAUAAUUAAGACUUAUUCUUCUUAA